UACGAAGGGGGCUAGCGUUGCUCGGAAUCACUGGGCGUAAAGGGUGCGCAGGCGGCCGGGUGUGUCAGAUGUGAAAUCCCGAGGCUUAACCUCGGAACUGCGUCUGAAACUACUCGGCUAGAGUAUUGGAGAGGGUAACGGAAUUCACGGUGUAGCAGUGAAAUGCGUAGGUAUCGUGAGGAACACCAGAGGCGAAGGCGGUUACCUGGACAAUUACUGACGCUCAGGCACGAAAGCAUGGGGAGCAAACAGG
rnacentral:rRNA from 1 species